rnacentral:rRNA from 1 species
UACGGGAGGCAGCAGUGGGGAAUAUUGCACAAUGGGCGCAAGCCUGAUGCAGCCAUGCCGCGUGUAUGAAGAAGGCCUUCGGGUUGUAAAGUACUUUCAGCGGGGAGGAAGGCGAUGCGGUUAAUAACCGCGUCGAUUGACGUUACCCGCAGAAGAAGCACCGGCUAACUCCGUGCCAGCAGCCGCGGUAAUACGGAGGGUGCAAGCGUUAAUCGGAAUUACUGGGCGUAAAGCGCACGCAGGCGGUCUGUUAAGUCAGAUGUGAAAUCCCCCGGGCUUAACCUGGGAACUGCAUUUUGAAACUGGCAGGCUUGAGUCUUGUAGAGGGGGUAGAAUUCCAGGUGUAGCGGUGAAAUGCGUAGAGAUCUGGAGGAAUACCGGUGGCGAAGGCGGGCCCCUGGGACAAGACUGACGCUCAGGUGCGAAAGCGUGGGGAGCAAACAGGGAUUAGGAUACC